rnacentral:rRNA from 1 species
GGCGAAAGCCUGACGGAGCAAGACCGCGUGGGGGAGGAAAGCCUUUGGGUUGUAAACCCCUUUUCUCAGGGAAGAAGAAAGUGACGGUACCUGAGGAAUCAGCCUCGGCUAACUCCGUGCCAGCAGCCGCGGUAAUACGGAGGAGGCAAGCGUUAUCCGGAAUGAUUGGGCGUAAAGCGUUCGUAGGUGGCAAUUCAAGUCUGCUGUCAAAGACAGUAGCUCAACUACUGCAAGGCAGUGGAAACUGAAUAGCUAGAGUGCGGUAGGGGCAGAGGGAAUUCCCGGUGUAGCGGUGAAAUGCGUAGAGAUCGGGAAGAACACCGGUGGCGAAAGCGCUCUGCUGGGCCGCAACUGACACUGAGGGACGAAAGCUAGGGGAGCGAAUGGGAUUAGAUACCCCAGUAGUC